CAAUUGGGGAGAACAUCCGAUGGGUCUUGCCAGGAAGCUAAUCCUGAAGACGGAUGCAGUACCAUCAUUGACACUUCUCACCAGGAUAUGUGAAACAGUGCAAAGACUGCGUGGUCAAGCUGACGUCUGCAUUGGCCAUGCUGUAUGUAUCUUGAUACGGACACUGCAGAAGUCACGGCAUUUAUAGUUUUUGCUCUUCGUGGAGCAGCGCAGAGCAGUUGUCAAGGAAGUGAGUUUGUUUGUACAGGACCUCCCACCCCCACCUAUUGUCAACCAAUCAUGUCAAUGCGGAGCUAUACGGAGCCUUCCGCAUUGUUACAACAUUUGGGAGGCGCACAGCGCCCGCAAAAGGAGUUUCCCAGGCAACCACCGGCAGCAGAAAUGCUGUGAUACAAAAUCAGCUUUCCCUUGGGGAUAUGCUGUGAAGCCUGUGAAGACAGACCAAAGGGGGAUUUGCUGUGAAGACAGACACAACAUACUGCAAUGGGGAUGACUGAAGCAAAAGUGGGUGACUGAAGCCUGCUGAAGCCUGCCUCCCCAUCAAUCUCUGUAGUUGGUUGCAUUUCCUAAAGCUUAAGUAAUUCAUGUGAUAUGCCAUUUUGUCACUUUUUAUAUAUAUUUUUGUAUUUGGAUGGGAAAUUAGUUUGACAAAUUGUAUGCACAGUGUGGGCCAGGUGCCUAUAUUAGGCUUACUGCUCUAAUAUAUAUUUUUUAUGUCAUGUUUCACUGUUAUUUCUCAAUAUUUUGACUAUGCUGGCCUAUUUUUAAAUGAUCAAAUACAUGUCUGAUCAACACAUACAAUUCUGAACAUAGUCAUAAUGCCAAUGCAGAGUCACCAAUCAUGGGCCAUGAUGAUGUUAUAUGUCCUCGUCAGAGCUGUCCAAGCACACACGAAGACAGCGUAACAAGACAGAGGUGGAAAAAAACUAAGUAGCUGCAAAGAGCCAAGUUUGUUCAUCAAUCACAUUUUUAUUUGUCACGUGUUAUAAACGAGAACUUCACUCUUCAACUCUCAUCUUAUCCCUUAUCUAUAUUAAUAGACUCGAUAUGUGGAUAAAUCCCAAGCUUGUCCAUGCUUAAAGGCAAAUGUAUUAAUCUAAUGUAAUAUAAGGCAAGUUAAGAAACAUCUGUAUGAAACAUCUGUAGUCUUUUUUCAUAAAACAAGCGUAAUGUAAAGAGUGAUUUAAAAUGGGCGAUCUGAACUUAAAAUUGGAGAAUGCUCUAGCCUUAUGAUUAGAAAACAUUUUGUAGGAAAACUUCAUGCUUUUCCAUCAUGAUAUAAAACAAGACAAUAUUUUGUCAUUUUGAACGUUGUGAUAAUCUCUGUUUAAACAGUGCAUUGCAUUUUGUCCUAAAAUA